AUCCUUCCCCGUGCCUCUGCGAGACUGUCUGGAAUCUUCUCAGGGGUCGUGUUCCCUGGGGGAGGCAGCCGGGAGGCUUAACCGUGGCCCUGUGUUCGCACACAGUGCUGUUCGUAGGCAGAGCAGUCCCACCCUGCGUGGCCGUGUAGCUGCCAGAAAAGAUCGUGAAGGUCAUCGUAGCCCGCGUCUAACCCGUUGAGAGUCGUCAGGCCGGCCAGCCCCAGUUCUUAUCUGUUGUGGCAGAUACGAUUGCUUGCUCAUGGUUCGACCCUGCAGUCUGCGCAGAUACCGCCUUUCUCACUUUAACACCAACUGCCCAUCAAUGUCUCGCUGCCUGGUCUCUAGAUAAUAAAAUGCCAGGAUCACAGUCUUAGAAGUGGCAAGAGCCUUAGAAAUGUUAUGCUAACUCAUCUUCUUCUUUUUAUAAAUGAAACUGAAGCUCCCAGAAAGAUUGAUCCCUUUAUUUCUCUGUUUCAUCGGUACCUUCAGCAUCAUUAAAUAAAAGCCACUGUUGAGUUCUUCCCUACCUUGUAUCCGAUGCUUUACAUACCAUUCUUGUUUCCUUUAAUCUCCAUUACAGCCCUAUGAGUAGGUAUUAUGAGUUUUUUUUUUUUUUUAAGGAGUCUGGCUCUGUUGCCCAGGCUGGAGUGCAAUGGCGCGAUCUCGGCUCACUGCAGCGUCCGCCUUCCGGGUUCAAGCAGUUCUCCUUGCCUCAGCCU
rnacentral:lncRNA from 1 species